CAAGUUAUCAAAAGGAUACGGAGAUAUACUACACAAUCAUUUCCCAAUGAAAACGGUGUUUACUAUCAGAAAAUAGAAUCUCUGAUAAUGAGCAAAACUUUUUCUAUGAGAAAAAAGAAAACUGUUGUCUCUGUAGCUUGUAGCUUCUGAUGGCAAUCUGGCAUUCUUGAAACUAUUGAGCACCUGUGACGAUGAAUGUUAGUCUGCGGCUGAAUGGAAGCACACGAUGGGUGAACGAACUUGCCGCUCGAUAAACCAUGAUCACCUUUACAAUGGAAAGGCGCCAUUUUUUUUUCUGGCAUGACGAUAGGAUUCUUCAAUGCCUAGGAUUAUUAUUUUUUAAUAGGAGAAAAAGGAAAUGGGGUAAAUGCAUUAUGAGCUGGAAAAAGGAUUUGUUUUAAAAGCUGGAGGCCCAUGACCAACUAGAAGUUGCUGUGAAGCCAUGAAGAAACCCCAUUCAACUUUGAAUUUUAAAAACCAAUCUUUUUUUUUUUUUUUUUCUCAAUUCUCUUAAUCGAGCUCCUGGUUGCUCUAAUUCAAAAGCCAGUAUUUACAAGUAGACAUUGCAUUUGGAACUAAACAUUACUUGUAAGUCAGAUUAUUUAUUGGCAAACAAUCAGAUUGUUAAAAUGCCAAGUAGAUAAUAUGGGAAAAUAGGAGAUGCAAAAUUGUGCCAAAAGAAUUUUGGAGGAUUAUAAGUUGACAAGCAACAUUUUGCGUAGGAAAACGGAAGAAUACAAUUUAUCAAUUUUG